UCGACGUGUUUGCCUGGCCUUACCUUUGCAGGUGAAGCCAAGCAAGAGUGGUGUGUAGCUGUCUCAUACAGUGAUGAGCCCACAACGUCGUAGAGCAUGUCGCCUUCCCCUUGUGGUAGAGGGUGGCACUCGGCAUAUUCCAUAGCCAAGCUGGAGUCACUUCGACUGUGAAGGCGGCAAAACCAUGCCGUGGACAUAU
rnacentral:snoRNA from 9 species